rnacentral:rRNA from 1 species
GUCUUUAGUUAAAUUUCUAUAGAGACUGCCGAUUACAAGUCGGAGGAAGUGGGGACGACGUCAAGUCAUCAUGCCAUUUAUAUCCUGGGCUACACACGUGCUACAAUGGUUGAGACAACGAGUGCAAAUUUGCGAAAUAAGCUAAUCUCUUAAACUCAGCCUUAGUUCGGAUGGUAGGCUGAAACUCGCCUGCCUGAAGCCGGAAUUGAUAGUAAUCGCUGGUCAGCUAUACAGCGGUGAAUACGUUCUCGGGUCUU